rnacentral:rRNA from 1 species
AGACGGGGACCCGCACAAGCGGUGGAUGAUGUGGAUUAAUUCGAUGCAACGCGAAGAACCUUACUACCCUUGACAUGUCCGGAACUUGCCAGAGAUGGCUUGGUGCCCGAAAGGGAAUCGGAACACAGGUGCUGCAUGGCUGUCGUCAGCUCGUGUCGUGAGAUGUUGGGUUAAGUCCCGCAACGAGCGCAACCCUUAUCAUUAGUCGCUACGCAAGGGCACUCUAAUGAGACUGCCGGUGACAAACCGGAGGAAGGUGGGGAUGACGUCAAGUCCUCAUGGCCCUUAUGGGUAGGGCUUCACACGUCAUACAAUGGUCGGUACAGAGGGUUGCCAAGCCGCGAGGCGGAGCCAAUCCCACAAAGCCGAUCGUAGUCCGGAUUGUUCUCUGCAACUCGAGAGCAUGAAGUCGGAAUCGCUAGUAAUCGCAGGUCAGCAUACUGCGGUGAAUACGUUCCCGGGUCUU